UCCAGACUUUAAAAUAUCAAGAAAACGGCAUGAUCUUACAAACUGUCUUACAAUGUAUUCAACAUUACAUACCGUAUUACAAGACCAAGAAAAGUCAAUAAGUCAUUGCAUGUGCACAGUUGUACACCAGUAACGUGCAAUGUAGACAAUGAUGGCACUUUAACUUGUAGUUACUUCUAUAGUUAUAAAUGAUUAGAUGUGCUUGAUGUUAAACCAUUAAAAAUGUUAAAAAAUCACAGUUGAGAUACUUUUAUUAAAAAAACACAGCAUUGAUAUACUGUUCGCUUCCAAUGUUGCCCCAGCCAAUAUCUCUGCAACUUUCCUAGAAUUUCUCAGAACGAAAUUCAAAUUUGUAUUUCUCACACUGUCGUCUCAGCGUUGUUCCAAGAGCAGGGUUUCCGCAGUAAAAUACCGAUACUUCACCAUGAUUUUGUUCAUUUAGUUCCAUAAAUACCU
rnacentral:lncRNA from 1 species